rnacentral:rRNA from 1 species
UGGGGAAUCUUGGACAAUGGGGGAAACCCUGAUCCAGCCAUCCCGCGUGUGCGAUGAAGGCCUUCGGGUUGUAAAGCACUUUUGGCAGGAAAGAAACGUCAUGGGUUAAUACCCCGUGAAACUGACGGUACCUGCAGAAUAAGCACCGGCUAACUACGUGCCAGCAGCCGCGGUAAUACGAAGGGUGCAAGCGUUAAUCGGAAUUACUGGGCGUAAAGCGUGCGCAGGCGGUUCGGAAAGAAAGAUGUGAAAUCCCAGAGCUCAACUUUGGAACUGCAUUUUUAACUACCGGGCUAGAGUGUGUCAGAGGGGGGUGGAAUUCCGCGUGUAGCAGUGAAAUGCGUAGAUAUGCGGAGGAACACCGAUGGCGAAGGCAGCCUCCUGGGAUAACACUGACGCUCAUGCACGAAAGCGUGGGGAGCAAACAGG